AUUGAACGCUGGCGGCAGGCCUAACACAUGCAAGUCGAGCGAGCGGCGGACGGGUGAGUAAUGUCUGGGAAACUGCCUGAUGGGGGGGGAUAACUACUGGAAACGGUAGCUAAAACCGGAUACAAUCAGAUGGGCCAAGGUGGGUUUAGCUAGUAGGUGGGGUAACGGCUCACCUAGGCAACGAUCCCUAGCUGGGCGGAGGGGAUGACCAGCACAACUGGAACGUGGAACCGGUCCAGACUCCACCGGGAGGCAGCAGUGGGGAAUAUUGCACAAUGGGCGCAAUCCUGAUGCAGCCCGGCCGCGUAUGGGAAGAAGGCCUUCGGGUUGUAAAGCACUUUCAGCGGGGAGGCGUUACCCGCAGAAGAAGCACCGGCUAACUCCGUGCCAGCAGCCGCGGUAAUUC
rnacentral:rRNA from 1 species